AGCGGUCAGAGAGGGGAUUUGUACCGGAUUGUGGCCCUCUAUAAAUAUGCCGCUAAAGAGGUUGGUCAUGGAGCGAU
rnacentral:ncRNA from 2 species